rnacentral:rRNA from 1 species
UACGGGGGGAGCAAGCGUUGUUCGGAUUUACUGGGCGUAAAGGGCGCGUAGGCGGCCAGCACAAGUCAGUUGUGAAAUCUCCGAGCUUAACUCGGAAAGGUCAACUGAUACUGUGCGGCUAGAGUGCAGAAGGGGCAACUGGAAUUCUUGGUGUAGCGGUGAAAUGCGUAGAUAUCAAGAGGAACACCUGCGGCGAAGGCGGGUUGCUGGGCUGACACUGACGCUGGAGGCGCGAAAGCUAGGGGAGCGAACGGG